rnacentral:rRNA from 1 species
UACGUAGGGUGCAAGCGUUGUCCGGAAUUAUUGGGCGUAAAGAGCGUGUAGGCGGCCGGGUAAGUCCGGUGUGAAAACUCGAGGCUUAACCUCGAGAUGUCAUCGGAAACUAUUCGGCUAGAGUCCGGAAGAGGAGAGUGGAAUUCCUGGUGUAGCGGUGAAAUGCGCAGAUAUCAGGAAGAACACCUAUGGCGAAAGCAGCUCUCUGGGACGGUACUGACGCUGAGACGCGAAAGCGUGGGGAGCGAACAGG